ensembl:lncRNA
CGUUGAUGGUUUUUAGUCACAGACUAGCAGAACCCCCUCCAAAUAUGUCACAACCACACUCAUGAAGGAUUAGGGUGGUUGUCUAGCAGUGCCACUGCGGUCGUUGUAUACGAGUCGCCAGCAGAUGGAGCUAAUGGACCGUAGAAUAUGUUGAACAACUUGAUGUUGCACCCUGCGUGAAACCAGCCAGUCGCACUAAUUUAGGACUUGACGAAAGUUAAACUCGCUGGUUUAAUGUGGUUCAUUCGUUUUUGGAUGAUGCAAAACAUCGAACAAGACACGUGUGACUCAAGAUUGCAAUGACUGUACUUCGGUGGUGGCUGGUGUCGACCGAGGCAGCGGGUCAAGAUAUCCUGGUCAUCCCCCCGUCCCUCAGACAGAGGUGGUCGGUCUCUCGCCCCAUCGAUGCUCCCCUGCUAAUGGGUGGCUUCAUGCGG